rnacentral:rRNA from 2 species
UGGCGGCGUGCCUAAUACAUGCAAGUCGAGCGAACAGAAGGAGCUUGCUCUCGGAUGUUAGCGGCGGACGGGUGAGUAACACGUGGGUAACCUGCCUGUAAGACUGGGAUAACUCCGGGAAACCGGAGCUAAUACCGGAUAGUUCCUUGAACCGCAUGGUUCAAGGAUGAAAGACGGUUUCGGCUGUCACUUACAGAUGGACCCGCGGCGAUUAGCUAGUUGGUGGGGUAAUGGCUCACCAAGGCGACGAUGCGUAGCCGACCUGAGAGGGUGAUCGGCCACACUGGGACUGAGACACGGCCCAGACUCUACGGGAGGCAGCAGUAGGGAAUCUUCCGCAAUGGACGAAAGUCUGACGGAGCAACGCCGCGUGAGUGAUGAAGGUUUUCGGAUCGUAAAGCUCUGUUGUUAGGGAAGAACAAGUGCGAGAGUAACUGCUCGCACCUUGACGGUACCUAACCAGAAAGCCACGGCUAACUACGUGCCAGCAGCCGCGGUAAUACGUAGGUGGCAAGCGUUGUCCGGAAUUAUUGGGCGUAAAGGGCUCGCAGGCGGUUUCUUAAGUCUGAUGUGAAAGCCCGGCUCAACCGGGGAGGGUCAUUGGAAACUGGGAAACUUGAG